rnacentral:rRNA from 1 species
GAGUCCGGGAGAUAGACAGCGGGGGCUAAGCUUCGUUGUCGAGAGGGGAACAGCCCAGACCGCCGAUUAAGGUCCCUAAUUUUAUGCUAAGUGAGUAAGGAAGUGAUGAUUCAAAGACAGUUGGAAUGUUGGCUUAGAGGCAGCAAUCAUUUAAAGAGUGCGUAACAGCUCACCAAUCGAGAAUCAUUGCGCCGAUAAUAAACGGGGCUAAGCAUAAAACCGACAUCGCGGGUGUGUCGUAAGGCACGCGGUAGGAGAGCGUAGUAUUCAGCAGAGAAGGUGUACCGAAAGGAGCGCUGGAGCGGAUACUAGUGAAGAUCCAUG